GCUUAACACAUGCAAGUCGAACGAUGAACCACUUCGGUGGGGAUUAGUGGCGAACGGGUGAGUAACUACGUGGGCAAUCUGCCCUUCACUCUGGGACAAGCCCUGGAAACGGGGUCUAAUACCGGAUACGACCUGCCGAGGCAUCUUGGCGGGUGGAAAGCUCCGGCGGUGAAGGAUGAGCCCGCGGCCUAUCAGCUUGUUGGUGAGGUAACGGCUCACCAAGGCGACGACGGGUAGCCGGCCUGAGAGGGCGACCGGCCACACUGGGACUGAGACACGGCCCAGACUCCUACGGGAGGCAGCAGUGGGGAAUAUUGCACAAUGGGCGAAAGCCUGAUGCAGCGACGCCGCGUGAGGGAUGACGGCCUUCGGGUUGUAAACCUCUUUCAGCAGGGAAGAAGCGAAAGUGACGGUACCUGCAGAAGAAGCGCCGGCUAACUACGUGCCAGCAGCCGCGGUAAUACGUAGGGCGCGAGCGUUGUCCGGAAUUAUUGGGCGUAAAGAGCUCGUAGGCGGCUUGUCGCGUCG
rnacentral:rRNA from 1 species